CAUGUGUUUAACGGCCGCGGUAUUUUAACCGUGCGAAGGUAGCGCAAUCACUUGUCCUUUAAAUGGAGACCAGUAUGAAUGGCAAGACGAGGGCUAAACUGUCUCCUCUUUCAAGUCAAUGAAAUUGAUCUCCCCGUGCAGAAGCGGGGAUACGCACAUAAGACGAGAAGACCCUGUGGAGCUUUAGACACCAAGACAACUCACGUUAAGAACCCCUAAACAAAGGGCUAAACUUAGUGAAACCUUGAUCUGAUGUCUUUGGUUGGGGCGACCACGGGGAGAGAAAAAACCCCCACGUGGAACGGGAGCACUGCUUCCCCCACAACUAAGAGCAACAGCUCUAAGCAACAGAACAUCUGACCUAAAGAUCCGGCUCUCCUGCCGAUUGACGAACCGAGUUACCCCAGGGAUAACAGCGCAAUCCCCUUUUAGAGCUCAUAUCGACAAGGGGGUUUACGACCUCGAUGUUGGAUCAGGACAUCCUAAUGGUGCAGCCGCUAUUAAGGGUUCGUUUGUUCAACGAUUAAAGUCCUACG
rnacentral:rRNA from 2 species